GGCUGGUCUAAAGGUAGUAAGUUACCUCGAUUGUUUAUAGUCAGUUACAGUUCCAACUCCUUGUUCUACUUUCCCCCCUUCUCACUAUUGCACUUGACUAGUCUUAA
rnacentral:Y_RNA from 1 species